GUACGAUUUCUGCAGCACAUACAGUAAAAUUGUAAUGAUACAGAGAUUAGCAUUGCCCUGUGCAAAGCUGACACAAAAAUUGAUGAAGUGUUCUGUUUUUUA